rnacentral:tRNA from 1 species
UGGGGAGUCGUCUAACGGUAGGACGUGUGACUCUGAAUCACAAAGUUGGGGUUCGAAUCCCUGCUCCCCAGCCU